rnacentral:rRNA from 1 species
GACGAAGGUGGCAAGCGUUAUUCGGAUUUACUGGGCAUAAAGCGCGCGUAGGCGGCUUGGCAAGUCGGGGGUGAAAGCCCGCAGCUCAACUGCGGAACUGCCUUCGAUACUGCCGAGCUUGAGGGCGGGAGGGGUGAUUGGAACUCCAGGUGUAGCGGUGAAAUGCGUAGAUAUCUGAAGGAACACCGGAGGCGAAGGCGAAUCACUGGACCGCUUCUGACGCUGAGGCGCGAAAGCUAGGGGAGCAAACAGG